GGUGUCUUAACCAAUCCAACGUCACUGUUUGACACGCCUGGCAUCGCACAUGUGCGUAAAAGUGCGUGCGCUUUCACGAAACCACGCUUUAGUCCCUCUACGUUCAGGCUUCUCGCUCGAGCCUUCGCGAAUGCAGUCGACGGUCUUGACAACCACCGCUUCGAAACAGACGACGUGGUGCGAACACUUGCGACAUUGUGACGCUGGUUGGGAUAAGGUCAAGUUCUGGCUGUCACAGCGAUUAACUACAACGCUGGCGUGGCUCUCCAAGCGAACGAAGGCUUGAAAACGCUCCGCUUUCGUCUUCUGGCAAGAGCCAUGCAUCCUGGCCGGGUGCUGCUCCGCGCACCCUUGGUUUUGGCUCCCGGCGCCUCCGUUGGAGGCACAGACGCGCGUGGCGCCGCUGUCUCGGAGCUCGCGUGGGCCGCGAGGCAGCUGCUUUGUGUCAACGAGAAAGCGAAGGAAACCGUGGACCAAAAA